rnacentral:rRNA from 1 species
AUUGAACGCUGGCGGCAUGCCUUACACAUGCAAGUCGAGCGGCAGCGCGGGGGCAACCCUGGCGGCGAGCGGCGAACGGGUGAGUAAUGCAUCGGAACGUGUCCUCUUGCGGGGGAUAACCAGUCGAAAGACUGGCUAAUACCGCAUGAGCACGAGAGUGGAAAGCGGGGGACCGUAAGGCCUCGCGCGAGAGGAGCGGCCGAUGCCGGAUUAGCUAGUUGGUGGGGUAAUGGCCUACCAAGGCGACGAUCCGUAGCUGGUUUGAGAGAACGACCAGCCACACUGGGACUGAGACACGGCCCAGACUCCUACGGGAGGCAGCAGUGGGGAAUUUUGGACAAUGGGGGCAACCCUGAUCCAGCCAUGCCGCGUGUGUGAAGAAGGCCUUCGGGUUGUAAAGCACUUUCGGACGGAACGAAAUCGCGCGAUCUAACAAGUCGCGUGGAUGACGGUACCGUAAGAAGAAGCACCGGCUAACUACGUGCCAGCCGCCGCCGUAA